UUCUGAACUUGGUUCCUUCCUGCUCCAGGAAGAAUAGGUGCCUGCUUUGAGACCCUGGGGUAUGACCCACGUAUGCUACUGACCUUGACUUGAGUGGUCUGACAAAUGUAG
rnacentral:lncRNA from 1 species